UACAGAGGUCUCAAGCGUUGUUCGGAUUCAUUGGGCGUAAAGGGUGCGUAGGCGGCGCGGUAAGUCGGAUGUGAAAUCUCGGGGCUUAACUCCGAAACUGCAUUCGAUACUGCCGUGCUUGAGGACUGGAGAGGAGACUGGAAUUUACGGUGUAGCGGUGAAAUGCGUAGAUAUCGUAAGGAAGACCAGUGGCGAAGGCGGGUCUCUGGACAGUUCCUGACGCUGAGGCACGAAGGCCAGGGGAGCAAACGGGAUUAGAUACCCCGGUAGUCCUGGCAGUAAACGGUGCACGUUUGGUGUGGGAGGAUUCGACCCCUUCUGCGCCGGAGCUAACGCGUUAAACGUGCCGCCUGGGGAGUACGGUCGCAAGAUUAAAACUCAAAG
rnacentral:rRNA from 1 species